rnacentral:rRNA from 1 species
UACGUAGGGAGCAAGCGUUGUCCGGAAUCAUUGGGCGUAAAGCGCGCGUAGGCGGCCCUGUAAGUCCGUUGUGAAAGUCAAAGGCUCAACCUUUGAAAGCCGAUGGAUACUGCAGGGCUAGAGUCCGGAAGAGGCGAGUGGAAUUCCUGGUGUAGCGGUGGAAUGCGCAGAUAUCAGGAGGAACACCAAUAGCGAAGGCAGCUCGCUGGGACGGUACUGACGCUAAGGCGCGAAAGCGUGGGGAUCAAACAGG